GAUGAACGCUGGCGGCGUGCCUAAUACAUGCAAGUCGAGCGAACGGACGAGAAGCUUGCUUCUCUGAUGUUAGCGGCGGACGGGUGAGUAACACGUGGAUAACCUACCUAUAAGACUGGGAUAACUUCGGGAAACCGUAGCUAAUACCGGAUAAUAUUUUGAACCGCAUGGUUCAAAAGUGAAAGACGGUCUUGCUGUCACUUAUAGAUGGAUCCGCGCUGCAUUAGCUAGUUGGUAAGGUAACGGCUUACCAAGGCAACGAUGCAUAGCCGACCUGAGAGGGUGAUCGGCCACACUGGAACUGAGACACGGUCCAGACUCCUACGGGAGGCAGCAGUAGGGAAUCUUCCGCAAUGGGCGAAAGCCUGACGGAGCAACGCCGCGUGAGUGAUGAAGGUCUUCGGAUCGUAAAACUCUGUUAUUAGGGAAGAACAUAUGUGUAAGUAACUGUGCACAUCUUGACGGGACCUAAUCAGAAAGCCACGGCGAACUACGU
rnacentral:rRNA from 1 species